GAUGAACGCUAGCUACAGGCUUAACACAUGCAAGUCGAGGGGCAGCAUGAACAAAGCUUGCUUUGUUUGAUGGCGACCGGCGCACGGGUGCGUAACACGUAUCCAAUCUGCCCGCGGCUCGGGGAUAGCCCAUCGAAAGAUGGAUUAAUACCCGAUGGCGUGGUUUCUCCGCAUGGAGUUUCCACUAAAGGUUUUCCGGCCGCGGAUGGGGAUGCGUAUGAUUAGGUAGUAGGCGGGGUAACGGCCCACCUAGCCUUCGAUCAUUAGGGGUUCUGAGAGGAAGGUCCCCCACACUGGAACUGAGACACGGUCCAGACUCCUACGGGAGGCAGCAGUGAGGAAUAUUGGUCAAUGGGCGAGAGCCUGAACCAGCCAAGUAGCGUGAAGGAAGACUGCCCUAUGGGUUGUAAACUUCUUUUGUUCGGGAAUAAAGUGCAGUACGCGUACUGUUUUGCAUGUACCGUUCGAAUAAGCAUCGGCUAAUUCCGUGCCAGCAGCCGCAGUAAUAC
rnacentral:rRNA from 1 species